CCGGCCCUCAUUGGGGAGUAGCCGCCCCGCGGCACGUCCGCACCGCGUUUCGCCGGUGCGUCGCACGUGCGCUUCGCGGGGGCGCCUGUCAACAGACUUGGCCGUCAGGCCAUGGCAGCCGCAGCCUCUGGCCUGGCGAGACCGAUGA
rnacentral:other from 1 species